AUAUAUAUGAAUGUGUAUACAGGUACAUAUAUAUGUGUCCAGUAUAUUUGUGUACUGUAUGUACAUGUAUUUAUGUCUGCAUGUCAAGUAUGAUUGAGCAUUGUUUAAAACAAUGUUUAAAAACUGAGCAGAAUAAUUUCAGUAUUGGACUAAAACUGUGUAUUCCCACCUCAAGUGAACCAAGAUCAAAUGAGAGACAUAAAAUGCUCCUUCAUUUUGGGGUUGUUCAAGACCAGAACAUUACAGUGAACAUGCAUAGACUUAAGAUCAUUAUUGCUUAUCUUGCUUUUACCUGUAAAUACCUAAUCAAUAUAACAGCACAGGGAAAUGGUGCAUAACGGUGUCCGUGCAAACGCCUUGGCUGCACUUUAUCGAGCGAGGCAUGUUGGCACGUGCUUGCAACUUCUUGAUCAGCUUUGAAUGUAGCCCUGAGUUCUGACUCAAUGCCAGCAUCACACACCUUCACGUCAAAUGUACGCACGCACAUUAUGCAAAUGAUCUACUUAGCCAGCACAUGGGAUUCAAGUACUUUGGAUUGAAACAAGACACUCCGAAAAGACUGCAGUUGACUGACAGACUGAGGAAGUGCAUGGAUGUAUUUUAAGCACAAAUACUGUACAGUUUGUCACCGAUGGUGCAGGAUCAAAUUCCAAGGUGUAAAGUGACUUCAAUUAGUUGUAACCACACUGAGUUAUGAUGUUGUAAAUGUUGCAUGAUGACGUCACAAUUCUGUAUAAAACGGGCUCCUAUCGUUUAGCAAGUGUCUAUUUAGCUAAUGGAAGAUUUGGUAACAAGUGUGUGCCCCGUACGGCAGAAUCUCCUAAGUUAAACGGCACGUUGAAGCCUGCAACAUUUGGAGUUCAUGAAUUUUCAACAGUUUGAAGCUUGAAGUGAAAUCAGAACCCAGUGAGGAGUGCAAAGAAGUCUGUGGUCCCACAUUGAAGCGAAGGUCACUGCCAGAGAAGGAAUCCGACAGCCAAGCCUGAUGAGUUGCACAAAUGAGCAGGGUGUUGCCAAAACAUAAGCCGGAAAGAAGCCACCAUUGGAGGUGGACACCAAGCUGUGACAGGUGAAGCAGAAAAGGAGGAACAAAAUCCACCAUAACAUGGCAGAUGGAAAAAGUAGGAUCACCUGAGCCAACAGGAUGGAAGCUGACGACUGAACAGCUCAAAAUGGUGACAGAAGUCCCAGGCAGCAGGAAUUAACUGCACCAAGGCUAGGGAAAGCCUUCAUGGGCUUUGCCUUCGGCCACAGUGAUGGGAUGGAUCCUGGAAGUGAUUAACCAUUUAAAACUAAAAAGAGAAUUUUCCAAUGGAGCAGCUCCCAAAUGUGCCAAUGUCCUCUGCUUCCGGAAUGGUGAUGAAAUUGAAGUUUAGUUCUUAGGAUAUUUUUACUGUGCGUAAAUAAAUGUAUAUGUGCAAUGUCUUGUGAGUUAACAUUUCUAAUAGUGAUUGUGACAGCUCAUGUAACAAAUGAGAUGCAUGAGGUGCGUCAUUUAUUUUUAGGGAUAUAAACUAGAGCUGGUGUAGCUCCUUUGAGGUAAUAUUUUGUGUCAUCUCUUUCUCUCGCUGCACCGACCACUGCAGCUGAAUAGCAAUCACUGACACCAGAGUAGAUGAGAAGAGGAGGAGGAGGGGGCAAAGGGAAGUAAGACAGCAGUGAGCAAAAGAGCGAGUGAGAGAGAGAAAGGCAAAAGAUAUGAGGAGGGAGGUGGAAUGUCAAGCUAACAGUCAGUGCCGCAUUAUCAGCCAAAGUGUGAAGGAGGAGGAAGGUGAGGACGGGUGGGAUCUGCAGGAGGAUGCGCGAAGGCUUCCUGGGGGAGGCUGACGAGCCGCCGUAACAUAGGUAACACUUCUGUGCAUGUCUGAUUGUGACAAGUAACAUUGUGAGUCUGUGAGGCAAUUUAAAGCUUCUGUCUGCACACGUGCUAGGCGCCGCAGGCCCUCAUGCAUUCCGGUUGUUGAUUAUCUGUGUGGCUGUCACUGUCUCUUGUGAUAUUGUCGGGCCUUUCUGUGACUAAAAUGCCUGCCGCUUCAAUCUCUGCGAUACAGAGUGUAACUGUGAAUCUUGAGUGACAAGUGAGCGUAGCCAGUAGAAUGUAUUCUGUCUCCACCUGACCCAGAUACAGCACCGCGCUUGCAUUGUCUAAUGUAUUGGUGGGCAGCCUACGGCAUGUGGGCCCUUUAUGGCCUCUCUCCAGAGGAUUUGAUACACGUUGCCAUGCAAUUCUAAAAACUAUUAAAGCAGCGAUGAAGGGGCCCCCAAAUCCCCACGCCCAAUUUGGCUGGGUGGAUUUUUCAUGGCUAUUUCUCGAACCAUUCAUCAUUCUCCCCCCACGCGCGAUGAGCAAAGCUCCAAAAUGUGCCCAUUUCUCCUGUAUACUUGGUUCACAUAUGUUUACAGUGGGGUGAACACACAAGGAGGAGUUUUAAGUACAGUCACCGUAGCCAAAAUGGCUGACUUUCUGUUGACGCGUGUUCGCAGUUGCCGAACAAAUCUGGUCUGUUAUGGAAGGCCUUUUGUUUUUACUCACUGAUGUCACUGCUGUGUUGUUGUUGGUGUCCAGGACGCUAAAGUACAUGAAGUUUCAAUAGGAUGCAAUCAGCGACCAUAUUUUGGUAUAUUUAAUAUAUAACUGGGGACCGUAAUAAUAAUGAAAACAUGGCCGGGCAACAAAAAUAAAAACUCUGAAAAAUUGUGGCCAAAAAAUAAAAAGAUUUAUUGCAGCAUACAUUUUCACACAUUUUGCAUGGAAAACAUGUAUUUUGGAAAGGGAAAAAGUCGAGCUGCAAAAGGCACCUGUUUUUAUCCAUCUCUCAUUUACCACUUGCCAAAUCAAAAUGACAUCACAGUGCUUCCGGGCUCAUGAGCAAAACCAGUAAACAGGUGAGCCAUGACGGUUGCUACUUUCUACUUUUUGGGAAUACUUUGUACAAGAUGUAUGGUUUUCGUGGGACUUUUGGUCCAUUCAAUGAAUUGUGAUUUCAGUAAUGUACCGAAGAGAGGGUCUAGCCGUUAGGAACUGCACCAUUGUGGUUGGCGCCCCAACGGUCUGGGCUUCA